UGAGCAACCUGCCCCUUGCUUUGGGAUAACCCUCGGAAACGGGGGCUAAUACCGGAUAUUCACUGCUUCGCGCAUGUGGGGUGGUGGAAAGUUCUUCGGCUGGGGAUGGGCUCGCGGCCUAUCAGCUUGUUGGUGGGGUGAUGGCCUACCAAGGCGACGACGGGUAGCCGGCCUGAGAGGGCGACCGGCCACACUGGGACUGAGACACGGCCCAGACUCCUACGGGAGGCA
rnacentral:rRNA from 1 species